UACGUAGGGGGCAAUCGUUGUCCGGAUUCAUUGGGCGUAAAGAGCGUGUAGGCGGUCAGGUAGGUCGGUUGUGAAAACUGGAGGCUCAACCUUCAGAGGUCGACCGAAACCCCCUGGCUAGAGUCCGGGAGAGGAGAGUGGAAUUCCUGGUGUAGCGGUGAAAUGCGCAGAUAUCAGGAAGAACACCCGUGGCGAAAGCGGCUCUCUGGAACGGUACUGACGCUGAGACGCGAAAGCGUGGGGAGCGAACAGG
rnacentral:rRNA from 1 species